ensembl:lncRNA
GUUCUUUUCAUUGAUGACACCAACAGCAAAAUGACAAAAACGAUAGCGCACAGUUCUGUAAGGCAAAAUAAACUAUACAGAAAACAAGAUCCCAAAAGGAAAAAGACCUAUAUAUGAUCCCCAAUCAGAGACAACGAUAGACAGCUGCCUCUGAUUGGGAACCAUUCUCAGCCAAAAACACAAAGAAAUAGAAAACAGAUUUUCCCACCCAAGUCACACCCUGACCUAACCAAACAUAGAGAAUAAUAAGGAUCUCUAAGUGAGUGCAGUGAGGACUUCAUGUGUGAGACGAGUAGAACUAACUUCCAGAAUCAUGGGAGGAGGAUUGAAAGUCCAUGCGCAUCCUUGGUCUUGAAGGAGAACAGGACGGCCCAGCGGUUACUUUCAGCGCUGCCUCCUCUGGUCCGAAGAGAGGUGAUGAUCCAGGGUCCCAAGAUGUCCAGUCCAACAUGAGUGAACGGAGGAUCAGAGGCACGUCUGUCUGCAGGAAAGUCUGACAUCUUUUGUUCUUCCAGUUUUCCUCUACGUUUUCUGCAGAUCACACACUUAUAGAUUAUGCUGGAUACCAGUCUUUUACUUCCAAUGAUCCACAAUCCAGCUGACCGGACUGCAC